GUGCUCUCUUCGGCAGCACAUAUACUAAAAUUGGAACGAUAUAGAGAAGAUUACCAUGGUCUCUACACAAGGAUGACAUGCAAAUUCGUGAAGCAUUCCAUAUUUUA